GACGAACGCUGGCGGCGUGCCUAAUACAUGCAAGUUGAGCGAUGAAGAUUGGUGCUUGCACCAAUUUGAAGAGCAGCGAACGGGUGAGUAACGCGUGGGGAAUCUGCCUUUGAGCGGGGGACAACAUUUGGAAACGAAUGCUAAUACCGCAUAACAACUUUAAACAUAAGUUUUAAGUUUGAAAGGUGCAAUUGCAUCACUCAAAGAUGAUCCCGCGUUGUAUUAGCUAGUUGGUGAGGUAAAGGCUCACCAAGGCGAUGAUACAUAGCCGACCUGAGAGGGUGAUCGGCCACAUUGGGACUGAGACACGGCCCAAACGCCUACGGGAGGCAGCAGUAGGGAAUCUUCGGCAAUGGACGAAAGUCUGACCGAGCAACGCCGCGUGAGUGAAGAAGGUUUUCGGAUCGUAAAACUCUGUUGGUAGAGAAGAACGUUGGUGAGAGUGGAAAGCUCAUCAAGUGACGGUAACUACCCAGAAAGGGACGGCUAACUACGUG
rnacentral:rRNA from 1 species